CAAACCUCAAGCGCUACGCUUGGUGAUGAGGCUCCGCUAUAGCGGGCCUUGAAAGACACCGGCAGGGCUGUUUCAACCCCUAACGCAGUAAAACCUCUCGUUCAGGGCGUUGUAGCGGUCUUCCGCCGUAAAACAACCUCUUUUUAUAG
rnacentral:misc_RNA from 1 species